rnacentral:lncRNA from 1 species
AGCCUCCCGAGUAGCUGGGACUACAGCCAUGAGCCAUAUGAGGACACCAAGGUUGCUCAGACAGUGGAGAUCUGUCUGCUCACAUACCUUCAGCUUGUCCUGACAACUUUCUCUUUGCACAUCUGGCUUCCUGAUGGACUUUCAAUGGAUUUUUGCCCCUGUUGCAGUGUUAAAAGAGGAGGGUGCUACAUCCUGGCUGGGGCCAGCAGCCCUUAUGGGUUAGGUGUUAGGUUUACCUGUGUAUCAUGUGACCCGCCCAUUUCAUCACCUGGGGUCCAGGUGGCAGAGGUCAGCCGUCUUCUGUUUACUCCCACAGGGCAGUGUUUUUCAAGCCUUUUUGUUGAAGACCCAUACUAAGAAAUACAUUUUCCACGCUGGGCGAGGUGGCUCAAGCCUGUAAUCCCAGCACUUUGGGAGACAGAGGUAGGUGGAUCACCUGAGGUCAGGCGUUCGAGACCAGCCUGGCCAACACAGUGAAGCUCCCUCCCACUGUCUCUACUAAAAAUACAAAAAUUAGCUGGGCACAGUGGCUUAUGCCUGUAAUCCCAGGCUGGAGUGCAAUGGCAUGAUCUCAGCUCACUGCA